GGGCCGUUAGCUCAGUUGGUAGAGCACUUGACUUUUAAUCAAGGGGUCGACGGUUCGAUCCCGUCACGGCCUACCA
rnacentral:tRNA from 1 species